CAGUCGCCGCGGGAAUACGAAGGGUGCAAGCGUUAAUCGGAAUUACUGGGCGUAAAGCGUGCGUAGGCGGUUUGUUAAGUCUGUUGUGAAAUCCCCGGGCUCAACCUGGGAAUGGCAAUGGAUACUGGCAAGCUAGAGUGUGUCAGAGGAUGGUGGAAUUCCCGGUGUAGCGGUGAAAUGCGUAGAGAUCGGGAGGAACAUCAGUGGCGAAGGCGGCCAUCUGGGACAACACUGACGCUGAUGCACGAAAGCUAGGGGAGCAAACAGGAUUAGAUACCCCAGUAGUCCCUGUCUCUUAUAU
rnacentral:rRNA from 1 species